CAUAACGUCAGGUGGCAACAAGGCAGGGGCACUGUGGCCCCAGAGCUGAGUGGGAACAAGGUGCCUUCUGGUGUGGCCAAUCCUAACACAACAGGAAGACUAAGGGGGAUUCUCAGGGUUUAGAGCCUGGCUACUCAAAGUGAGAUCCACAGACCAGCAACAUUGUCAGGACGGCAGAAUUCCCCUCUCACCUGCAUAAGCAGCAUCUGAACUUUAACAUCUCCCCAGGUGAUCUUACAUUAAAGUUCGGUUAAGUCUACUUCCCUUCCUCUUGAAUCUGGGCUGGCCCUGUGACUUGUUCUGACCAAUCGAAGUAGCAAAUGUGACCAAGACUGGACCUUAAGAUAUCUUCCACUCCUUCCUAUACAUUUUGAAUAGUCCUUCUUAUAAUCUAGCUGCCAUACUCUAAGGAAGCCCAAGCAGCCACGUGGAGAGGCCCACACAGAGGAGAACUGAGACCUUUGGCUUAGCUGUUCCAGCUAAGCUCCCAACCGGCAACCAGCAACAAUGUUUGGCCAUGUUUGGACAUUUCUCAUGUUGACACAGUAAAAAUGAGAUCUGUCCGGAAAAAGUCCAACCACUGUUAAUGUAACAAGAACGGUUCACAUGACAUUGAUGUAACCUGGCAGCCAAGGAGAGUGG